rnacentral:rRNA from 1 species
GACGAACCGUCCAAACGUUAUUCGGAAUCACUGGGCUUACAGAGUUCGUAGGCGGUCUGGAAAGUUGGGUGUGAAAUCCCUCGGCCUAACCGAGGAACUGCGCUUGAAACUACCAGACUCGAGGGGGAUAGAGGAAAGCGGAACUGAUGGUGGAGCGGUGAAAUGCGUUGAUAUCAGGAAGAACACCCGUGGCGAAGGCGGCGCUCUGGGACGGUACUGACGCUGAGACGCGAAAGCGUGGGGAGCGAACAGG